rnacentral:tRNA from 1 species
AUAGAGCCUUAGUAGUAUAACUAAUACACUGGUCUUG